GACGUAGGGCGCGAGCGUUGUCCGGAUUUAUUGGGCGUAAAGAGCUCGUAGGCGGCUUGUUGCGUCGACCGUGAAAACCCGGGGCUCAACUUCGGGCUUGCGGUCGAUACGGGCGGGCUAGAGUUCGGUAGGGGAGACUGGAAUUCCUGGUGUAGCGGUGAAAUGCGCAGCUAUCAGGAGGAACACCGGUGGCGAAGGCGGGUCUCUGGGCCGAUACUGACGCUGAGGAGCGAAAGCGUGGGGAGCGAACAGG
rnacentral:rRNA from 1 species